GACGGGGGGUCCUAGCGUUGUUCGGAAUCAUUGGGCGUAAAGCGUGUGCAGGUGGUUUUGUAAGUUGGAUGUGAAAGCCCCGAGCUUAACUCGGGAAGUGCAUUCAAAACUACAAAACUUGAGUAUGGAAGAGGGUCGUGGAAUUCCAGGUGUAGUGGUGAAAUACGUAGAUAUCUGGAGGAACACCGGCGGCGAAGGCGGCGACCUGGUCCUAUACUGACACUCAUACACGAAAGCGUGGGGAUCAAACAGG
rnacentral:rRNA from 1 species